rnacentral:misc_RNA from 1 species
GAUGAAGAACGCAGCGAAAUGCGAUAAGUAAUGUGAAUUGCAGAAUUCAGUGAAUCAUCGAAUCUUUGAACGCACAUUGCGCCCGCCAGUAUUCUGGCGGGCAUGCCUGUUCGAGCGUCAUUUCGACCAUCAAGCCCCAGGCUUGUGUUGGGGACCUGCGGCUGCCGCAGGCCCUGAAAACCAGUGGCGGGCUCGCUGUCACACCGGGCGUAGUAGAUUUUAUCUCGCUCAGGGCGUGCUGCGGGUUCCGGCCGUUAAAAAGCCUUUUUUACCCAAGGUUGACCUCGGAUCAGGUAGGAAGACCCGCUGAACUUAAGCAUAUCAAUAAGCGGAGGA